AACCGUGGCGGCAGAAUCGCUCGCCCAUGUUUUGGCGAGCCACAGUUUGGCGUGGUGGAUCUGGGCAGAAAGCAAGCAGACCCCAAGUUUGCUCAGUCCCCUCGGGCCUCAGGGGGAUCGGGAAAGAAACGAGGGUCGACAGAGUCAGGGACGGGGGGAGAACCGGAGAAUCGAGAGGUCAGCGAGGGAGCAGCGCCGUCGCCGCCGGCCGCCGGCCGCCGCAAGCCCGCACGGCGCAAUCUGGCUUCCGCAGUGUCGCCCGCCACCCGCCUCCACGGCUCCACAACUGCACAAAGCCACAGGGCUCGUCUGCUGCCGCUGGCCGGCUGCACGGCUCUCCCGCCGGUGUAUCUUACAGCCUCCAGGAGCUUCCCCGAGUCGGCGCUAGGACACGGUUGGGCCUCGCCGUCCGGCCGUCACCGACUCCCAGUGCGACCGUUCGCCAUCGCCGAAUCGUCGUCCAUCCCUCCGUGGCUCCCCGACUCGGCGACUCCAAAUGAUCUGCGUAGGCAAUUGAAUGUGAUGAAAAUGUUUUGUUCAUAUAUUUAGAAAUCUCAUGAAGAACUGAUUUCAGGUAAAAAGAACGGACCCGCGCUGACUGCCUUUCUCCUGCCAUUGUCCAGCAUGACACCUCUGGAAGAAAUGAAGGAAUUACAGUCGCUUACCUUGGUUACACUGCGGAGGACGGUGCUGCUCGUGCUCUCGCCGAAGGAGUUGAUGACGUUCCCGAAGAGGACCGAUAUGAGUGGCUCCGACAUGCCGUUGCCCAUCGCCCCCACCGUGCCGAC